AACCAGAACAAACUAAGGAGAAAUUCAAGCACCAGGAUUAGUCCACUCUACUGCAUUUAACAGUGCCCACACCGCGGUGAAUAGAAGAGUUCUGCUCUGCGAAAAAACUUGGUUUUUUUCUUUCAUUUGGGGGAGAGAUUAAUCAGCACUGGACAACAACCCAGUGCCCAGCGCCAGAAGGGAGCUACGGGAUGGCGAACUGCGCUGUUCCCGAAGGGAAGGGAGCUCAGCGUGAAGGCAGAUCUCGUCUAUCCAUUUUAGGGGAAGCAGCAGGAAAAGAAGGUAUUAGUACAGCUGCAGGCAGAGCAGCAACAUCAUGUAUGCAGAUGUCUGAGCUAUUUCUGGUGAUGUAAAAAGAAGACACUGAUAAGGCUGAUUGGAAAACCUCAAGGGAAUAGUAAGAAAUUAAGAUUUGAAGUGGAAGAGUCAAAGUUGUUGGGACUGUUUUACUAUUCACAGAAGAUGACCUGCAUAUUUGUGGUUUCACAAGUACCACCAGUGCUUUAACGGUCAUGCUGUUAUAGUCUGCUAGAAACAUCCAUUCAGACGGGAUACCCAUUCCUGGAAAAGAUAGCGAGUGUCUGGAAUGGAAACGGAUCGCUCCUGGGGAGUCCGCCGCAAACUCAGGCUGCUCCGACUUCGGGUGAUGUCCACGGGCUGCACCCAGAGCGUUUUCCCGAGGCUGGGGAGGGACGGGAGGUCGAGAGGAGCUGCAGCCCUGCUUCAGCACCACGGUGCUGAGUGGAGCCGGCAGGCGGGCGCAGGGCCACUUGAUCCGGCAGGGUCCCUGCUGCUGCCUCUGAUAGAUGUGAAGUGAUCGGAGAGAGGGAAGUGAAGGGGCUACAGACUCAGCAAGACCUAUCGGAGGCUUCACAGCUGCUACAUGAAUUUACGUGGAAGACAGGGGUGCUCUCAGAAUGGGUGAGCUGAUGGACCCUAAUAAAGAUAUGAAUUUGAAAACUGCCAAUCACUGGCUGAAAUCCAGGCUCAUUAUACUCAAUGGCAAAACUUCCCAUGACUUCAGUGGAACAGGUUUAACUAUUGCAGGAAACUAUUUUCCCCUAAAGCACUCGGUAGAAAGCUAUCGCUCUGCUCUAUGGUUUAGUUGAACCACUCUGAGGAAGUUAAUAAAAAACUCUAGAUUUUUGAUUAAAAAUAAAUGAGUAACUAUGGAAGCAAAAUGGUUCCAUUUUGCCUUCAAUCUAUAUAUGACGUAUUUUGGGUAUAAAGCCUUA